AUUGAACGCUGGCGGCAGGCCUAACACAUGCAAGUCGAGCGAGUGGCACACGGGUGAGUAAUGUCUGGGAAACUGCGUGGUGGAGGGGUAUAACUUCUGGAAAGGGUAUCUAACACCGCAUACCCACGUGUGUGCCCAGAUGGGAUUAGCUAGUAGGUGGGGUAAAGGCUCACCUAGGCGACGAUCCCUAGCUGGUCUGAGAGGAUGACCAGCCACACUGGAACUGAGACACGGUCCAGACUCCUACGGGAGGCAGCAGUGGGGAAUAUUGCACAAUGGGUGCAAGCCUGAUGCAGCCAUGCCGCGUGUAUGAAGAAGGCCUUCGGGUUGUAAAGCACUUUCAGCGGGGAGGCGUUACCCGCAGAAGAAGCACCGGCUAACUCCGUGCCAGCAGCCGCGGUAAUAC
rnacentral:rRNA from 1 species